CAGUCAGUUGGCUCCAAGGCAGAGGGCAGGGCAGAGAAGAAAGAAUUUCUGGCCCAGCAGAAAGAGGGCAAGGGAGGAGGCGGAGACGGACUUUCUGGCCAUGCCCCAGGGACUUCCUUCUCCAACCAGGCUGCAGUCUCCACCUCACACUUAGUUAUACGCUUAUCAGAGGACAAAGCCACUUGGAGCUGGCUCACCAUUUAGAUCCCCUGAGCUUCCCACCAUGUCUGCUUCCACUGGGAAAGGAUGCUAGCUUUCUUUCCAGCCUACAUAGGAGCAGAGAAAAGAUGCCUCAUCUUUGACAAAGGAGCCAACCAGCC